ensembl:misc_RNA Metazoa_SRP Metazoan signal recognition particle RNA
GCCGGGCAUGGUGGUGUGUGCCUAUAAUCCCAGCUACUUGGGAGGCUGAGGCAGGAGAAUUGCUUGAACCCGGGAGGCAGAGGUUGCAGUGAGCCGAGAUCGCACCACUGCAUUCUAGCCUGGGCAACAGAGCAAGACUCUGUCUCAG